UACGUAGGUGGCAAGCGUUGUCCGGAUUUACUGGGCGUAAAGAGCGCGCAGGCGGUCGUUCAAGUCGCGUGUGAAAGCCCCCGGCUCAACUGGGGAGGGUCACGCGAUACUGAUCGACUCGAAGGCAGGAGAGGGAAGUGGAAUUCCCGGUGUAGUGGUGAAAUGCGUAGAUAUCGGGAGGAACACCAGUGGCGAAGGCGAGUCUCUGGACAUUUCCUAACGCUGAGGCACGAAAGCCAGGGGAGCAAACGGG
rnacentral:rRNA from 1 species